UACGUAGGGUGCGAGCGUUAAUCGGAAUUACUGGGCGUAAAGCGUGCGCAGGCGGUUUUGUAAGCCAGAUGUGAAAUCCCCGGGCUCAACCUGGGAAUGGCAUUUGGGACUGCAAGGCUCGAGUUUGGCAGAGGAGACUGGAAUUCCUGGUGUAGCAGUGAAAUGCGUAGAUAUCAGGAGGAAUACCGAUGGCGAAGGCAGGUCGCUGGAACGGUACUGACGCUGAGGCGCGAAAGCGUGGGGAGCGAACAGG
rnacentral:rRNA from 1 species